GACAAUAUGAGUCAAGAGGGAAACGUUGUUGGAUGAAAUCGAACAGAGUUUAUGGACUUUAACUGAGGACAAUUUACGGCACCUGUGUGUAGUUGUGGAAUAGGAGGUGUAGAUGACUGAAGUAAAAGGAAAGAACCAUCGCGCUUUGCGGCGCAAAUUGAUGGAAGAUUACUGUGAGAAGGAAGAUUUAAUGGAAUCAGAGGAUGAGGGCAUGUCUUGCCUGCUUCAACUGAAAGGCGAAAUCAAAGGACUAUCGGACUCUGAGGAUACUGUGAAAGUCUGCCUUACAAAUCCCAGCCAGUCGGCGCCAACGAGGCAAGUGGACAGCAAUAUGGAACGCCGUUUGGGUCUUUGCGUGUCAAAAAGAUACACGUCAAAUAACACUAUUUGACACGCCAAAUAAGCUUCUUUAGCAAUCAGGACCUGAAUAUGACUCCAGGUCACACAAUAAUUUAACACGUUCAUUAAUUUUGUACGUAGUUAUUGCACAUUGAUUACACUCUCACUCGUAUUUCAUAUSCCACAAAGAUUCACCGAUACAAAUGCUAUGAGUCAAAGAUUUUGUCACUGAUGAUCACAUUUGCUUAAAGGUCGUUUGGACUCUGCCCAAGUCUCAGGUACUGAUGAUAGACGUUCACUCAACUUCUGUUCUUCCGAGGUAAAAUUAGCUAGCUAGUUAACAAUAGCAGCCCAAUUUCUCGAAAAUUGUAAAUCUACCAUCUCUGAUUGCACACCAGACUGCUGCUCACGGACAGAAGAGAUGGACUUCAACCAUCAAUAGCCAGGCUAGAGACCAUGUUGCGGAGCCUUCGGUGGGCAAGUGGUCAUUUGAUUGAUGAAGAGAUGGCCAGCAAUCUAAUUGCUGUUGCKGAGGAGUUCCUACAAGAGGCAAAUGACAUCCAACAACGGGAACCUUACGAAAAUGCCAAUGUCCUGUCAAGCGCCUUUGGAGGGGAGGCGGUAUCACAUCACCAAGGAGCAGCUUGAGUUCCUCAUAGAUUGUCAUAUGACCAUCAGACAAAUGGCAGAUGUUCUCAAUGAGUCGCACUCUGUGGUCAAGUUGCGCAUGAGGUGUAGGAUUGUUAUCCAUGGUGCUGUGGAUGGUUACAGCAGACUUGUUGUGUUUCUGAAGGCCUCUGACAACAACAGGACCGCCACA